rnacentral:lncRNA from 1 species
GAACUCCUCCUUCAUGUACUUCUCUGCCUCACUUGAGUUUGGAAUGAUUUCCUCACUUUCUUGCUCCUCCACUUCCUCUUUUACACUCAACAUUUGUUUUAAUAGCUCUUUCAUAGAGGAGGUUUGUUGAUCUUCCCAACAUUUCUUCAUCUCCUCUUCAUAUCUUUUAAUUUCAGAUUCAAUUGUUGAAACUUUUUGGUCCAGGGGGGUUUGAGGAGGUUGUGAGUGUUCAGGUUCUUUUGUCACCUCAAGUGCAGUUUCGUUUUCAACUAUUUUCACCACCUCUUUCUUUUUCACUAAAAAUUCACUUGACUCAGUAGCCUCUUCCUCUUGUUUUUCCUUCUUCUUCAUUGCACUCA